rnacentral:rRNA from 1 species
UACGUAGGGCGCAAGCGUUUGUCCGGAAUUAUUGGGCGUAAAGAGCUCGUAGGUGGUCCCGUAAGUCCGCUGUGAAAGUCAAAGGCUCAACCUUUGAAAGCCGGUGGAUACUGUCGGGCUAGAGUACGGAAGAGGCGAGUGGAAUUCCUGGUGUAGCGGUGAAAUGCGCAGAUAUCAGGAGGAACACCAGUGGCGAAGGCGACUACCUGGCCUGUUCUUGACGCUGAGGCGCGAAAGCUAGGGGAGCAAACGGGG